rnacentral:rRNA from 1 species
AGUGAACGCUGGCGGUAGGCCUAACACAUGCAAGUCGAACGGCAGCACAGUAAGAGCUUGCUCUUACGGGUGGCGAGUGGCGGACGGGUGAGGAAUACAUCGGAAUCUACUUUUUCGUGGGGGAUAACGUAGGGAAACUUACGCUAAUACCGCAUACGACCUACGGGUGAAAGCAGGGGAUCUUCGGACCUUGCGCGAUUGAAUGAGCCGAUGUCGGAUUAGCUAGUUGGAGGGGUAAAGGCCCACCAAGGCGACGAUCCGUAGCCGGUCUGAGAGGGUGAUCGGCCACACUGGAACUGAGACACGGUCCAGACUCCGACGGGAGGCAGCAGUGGGGAAUAUUGGACAAUGGGCGAAAGCCUGACCCAGCCAUGCCGCGUGGGUGAAGAAGGCCUUCGGGUUGUAAAGCCCUUUUGUUGGGAAAGAAAAGCAGCAGGUUAAUACCCCGCUGUUCUGACGGUACCCAAAGAAUAAGCACCGGCUAACUUCGUG